UGACCAUCUCGAAUAUUGUCAGGAAAAGAAAAGAAUUUCCCAAUACACUCUGAAGAUCCCGCAUAGGAAAAGCUAUUCACAAAGCUUUAUCGCUAAUGGCGCUUGCUUUCCAGUUUUUUAAAUAGCAAAGUUUUUCUUUUAAUGAUAUUCGUGGAGGAGACAUAUUUUUUGCUACUCCCCUUCAUUGAUGAUAUGCUACUUACUCCCAAUCUCAUCUGAAAAUUUCAGGUAUCAAAGCAGUCAUUACGAAAAUCACAAUCUUGAAAAUAAUUUUGGUAGGGAAAGAAUCAUCCUCUCAUGGUGAAUUUAUACAUUUUAUACUGAAUUAGACACCACUUGGAUUUUGGAUCAUAUCCUGCGAUGAGAGCUUUCAUUGUAUAUUCUGAUGAUGAAAAAUUGCAUCAUGAGACCUUUCAAAUACACAAGAGAAUGCCCCAAGUUCGUUAAUUA